rnacentral:lncRNA from 12 species
GAGCUCCCAGGCCCGUCAGGACAUAAGUUGAGGCUUCUGGAAGCUGGGGGCCGCAUUCAUGGUUACAGGAACCCCGGCCUCCUCAGAACCCUCGGUGACACUUCGGGAGGACUUGGGGCCACAUGGACACAACAGGAAGCUGACUUCCUCAGGACCCCCGGUGUAGACUUGUGGAAAUGUGGGGAUGAGUCCAUGCGUUCAGAAGACCCCAGCCUUCUCAGGGCCUGUGGUGAGGCCUAAGAAAAAUGUGGGUGCCGCAUCCACACUGACAGGACUCUCCAGCCUCCUCAGGACCCACUGUGAAGGUUUGGGAAGAUUUGGGGCCAUAUCCAUGCUGACAGGAGCCCCCAGCCUCCACAGGUCUUAUGGUAAGGCUUGAGGAAAAUGUGGGGCGAGGUCAUCCCUGACAGGAGCCCACAGCCUCCUCAGGACCCAUGGUGAGUUUUCUCGAGGACGUGGGGCCAUGUCCAGGCUGACAGGAGCCCCCGGACUCCUGAGGACCUGUUUGAGGCUUCCACAGGAUGUGAGGCAUAGUCCACAGUGACAGGAGACCCAGCGUCCUCAGGACCCACUGACUAUGACUCAGGAACACGUGGGCCACGUCCACACUCAGAGGAGCCCGGCUUCCUCAGGACCCCCUGGAGGACUGUGGAGGAGCCGUUGGGGGCCACGUCACAUCAGAAGGGAUUCCUCAGAACCACAGGGGGCCUGGGAUGGAUGGACCUGUUCAAACCCUGAACUUAAAGUGGAAAGACCUUCAUUUUCUCGGCCUCCUUAUGUCCCCUCCCAUCCUAUCUAGCUCCUUCCCCCUUCCCCGGAGCUCCUGAGAGAGCAAUUGCAAAUGACCUCAGCUUGGCAGCAUGUGUUGGGGGACAGGCCCAGGGAUUUGGGAUCAGGAAGACCUGGGGUGCAGGAAUACUGGCUGUGCAUCGGGAUUCGAUGCUGCAGACUCUUAUUCCCUAAGGCUAUCUUGACAACUGACCUUGUACAUAGAAAAGCUGUCCUUUAUCUUUAAAAGAUGAAGAGCCAGUCAAAGCCUUUUUUCUCUGCCCAUCUGAUUGCUCAGAUUCCAAUCUGAGACAUAUUUCCUGUUAAGAAGGAUAAUUUACUAUCCGUAGUACUAUCCUUAAAAUAUUCUGACACAAGUAAUUCAGAGGAAUGAGGGUUUCUCAUCUCUUUCUUCACAGCUCAGUCACUCCUCAGGAAAUGCAUCUUUAUGGAUUUGGAAAGAACUGAGAGACAUUAUUACCAAUGGUCCUAUUAUUAUGUGAAGGAUUCUUCCCUGAGAUUCUUCCCCUGUUUCAACUGACACUGAAACACUGGGAACUCUUUGGAAGACAAAUGUCAAGGAAAUAAGUGUUAUGCAUUGCUAAUUUUAAAUGCCCUUGCAAUAUGGUGUCUAUUAUAAUAGAAGUAUUUUUAUCUGAGUUUUGCUAUUUAUUAUCCUUUCCUGCUUUUCAGGAUGAGGAGGCAUUAUACGUGUUCAUAAGUGUUUUUCUUUCCUUCUGAUCUAAAAUUCUUACUUUGUUUCCAUCAAGGGAACUCUUUCAGAAUAAGGCAAAAGUUAAAUAAACUAUUCUUAAAAUGUCUUCA